rnacentral:lncRNA from 10 species
AAGUGAUCGCACAACUUAUGUGAUCACUGAGCACUCUAAUGGAAAAGUUCCACAACAUUGGCGUGAGAAUGAAUUUUUGGAAAUGACCUCAAAAGCACAGACAACAAAAGCAAAAAUAGACAAAUGGGAUGACAUCAAAGUAAAAAGCUUUUACACAGCAAUGGAAAUAACUGACAAAAUGAAGAGACAACAGACAGAAUGGGAGAAAACGUUUACAAAUUAAACAGCAGGGGUUAAUAUUAAAAAUGUAUAAGGAACUCAGCUCAACAGCAAGAAAACAAAUAACCCAUUUAAAAAAUAAGCAAAGGACCUAAACAGACAUUUCUCAAAAGAGGACCAACAAAGAGCUAACAGGUACAUGCAAAAAUGCUAAGCAUCGCUAAUCAUUAGGGAAAUGCAAAUUAAAACCACAAUGGGAUAUCACCUCACACCUGUUAAAAUGGCAAUUAUCAAAAAGAUGAAAGAUAAUACGUUGGCAAGUAUGUGGAGAAAAUGAUGUAACUCUUGUACAUUGUUAGUGGGAAUGAAAAUUAGUACAUUAUUGUUGUAGAAAAUGGGAUGGAAGUUCCUCAAAAAACUGUGUGUGUGUGUGUGUGUGUGUUUGUGUAUGCAUGCAUGUGCAUGUACACUAUCUUUUAAUACACCACUUGGGUUUUUGCUGAUCAAAAUGUAACCACAAUGUCAUAAUAAAUUACCUUGAAACUUCUUCACUCCAAGUGUGCAGAGCUCCUCAAGGGACUUGUUAAUGUUAGUUUCCUCAUCAAUUUAGCUUCUACGGACCGAUUGUGGUGGCUCAUGCCUGUAAUCCCUGCACUUUGGGAGGCCAAGGUGGGUGGAUUACUUGAGCUCAGGAGUUCGGGACCGGCGGGGCCAACAUGGUAAAACCCCGUCUCUACUAAAAUACAAAAAUUAGCUGGGUGUGGUGGUGCGUACCUGUAAUCCCAGCUACUCGGAAAGCUG